rnacentral:rRNA from 1 species
AGUGAACGCUGGCGGCGUGCUUAACACAUGCAAGUCGAACGAGAACGGGCUAUAGCUUGCUAUAGUUGUCAGCUAAGUGGCGCACGGGUGAGUAAUGUAUAGGUAAUAUGCCUCUUACUAAGGGAUAACAAAUGGAAACGUUUGCUAAUACCUUAUACUCCUUAUUAACAGAAGUUAAUAAGGGAAAGAUUUAUUGGUAAGAGAUUAGCCUGUAUUGUAUCAGUUAGUUGGUGGGGUAAUGGCUUACCAAGACUAUGACACAUAACUGGUUUGAGAGGAUGAUCAGUCACACUGGAACUGAGACACGGUCCAGACUCCUACGGGAGGCAGCAGUGGGGAAUAUUGCACAAUGGACGAAAGUCUGAUGCAGCAACGCCGCGUGGAGGAUGACACAUUUCGGUGCGUAAACUCCUUUUAUAUGAGAAGAUAAUGACGGUAUUAUAUGAAUAAGCACCGGCUAACUCCGUGCCAGCCGCCGCGGUAA